AUACGGAGGGUGCGAGCGUUAAUCGGAAUUACUGGGCGUAAAGCGUACGUAGGUGGUUUGUUAAGUCAGAUGUGAAAGCCCUGGGCUCAACCUGGGAAUGGCAUUUGAAACUGACGAGCUAGAAUAUGGUAGAGGGAAGUGGAAUUCCGGGUGUAGCGGUGAAAUGCGUAGAUAUCCGGAGGAAAACCAGUGGCGAAGGCGGCUUCCUGGACCAAUAUUGACGCUGAGGUACGAAAGCGUGGGUAGCAAACAGGAUUAGAAACCCUAGUAGUCC
rnacentral:rRNA from 1 species